rnacentral:rRNA from 1 species
UUUCGGCGUGUUAUACGGCAAAGAUGCGAAUCUCUGGCUGACAAUGGACAGUAUGCAAAGGUGGCUGAUGCUGUGUCAUGUGCGCAGUAUUGGUACUGAUCUGCGACGAUCUCUUCGGGCCUCUUUCCGACCCGUCUUGAAACACGGACCAAGGAGUCUAACAUGCGCGCGAGUCGCGGGGUAUCGAGCGUACUACGGUGCGUUCGUUCAUUAUGAAACCCGUAUGUUGAAGGCGUAAUGAAAGUAAAUUGGGAAGAUGGUGUUCCGAGUAUACGUACCGUGAAAUUCGCGGCCGGACAUCCGCAUUCCCGGGGCGUCUCAAUGGCUCAUCGCGAGUGCAGAUUGUCGUCUCUCGGGGUGGCAGUCGGUUUGCGAUGGUCCGAGGCGCACCUAUAGCGUGCACGUUGGUACCCGAAAGAUGGUGAACUAUGCCUGGCCAGGAUGAAGUCAGGGGAAACCCUGAUGGAGGUCCGCAGCGAUUCUGACGUGCAAAUCGAUCGUCUGAGCUGGGUAUA